AUAAACGUCCAAAUCACAUUGAAACUAUCAGUUGUCUUCUGAUCACUGAAGUCAAGCAACUUUGAGUACGGAUAGUAGUACUUGUAUGGGUGAUCGCUUGGGAACACCGUGUGAUGUUGUCU
rnacentral:rRNA from 1 species